rnacentral:lncRNA from 1 species
AUGUUUGAGCAAGGGCUCAAGCACAGUCAAAUCAGCAUUGCUCAAAGCAGGCAAGGCACUCACAAAAGCAUAAAUAAAGCGAAAUGGAGACAGGAUCUUAGCAUUUUGCAAGGUGGGUUAGUUGAAAAGGAAAGACACGUUCUCUCUCUCUCUCUCUCUCUCUCUCUCAAGCAUCAGAGAGGAGCUGCUUUUUCCUGGUUAAAAGCAAGGAAAUAUGAAACCAUCGAUUUUCCAAGCGAAAGGUCUUUUUCCAGUCCCUCUGAGGGUUAACUUUAUGACAAAAUGAAAGAUUAUCCCCCUGCCAUCUGUCACUGAAACCCCGUCUCCACUCUAUAUCCAGGCCUCAGUGCAGAGUGGAAGCAAAGGAAAUCAAGAGACUUAAAUGCACCAGGAGCCAUUGCACGACAAGCUUCUUUCUCAUUUGUCUUCAUCAGAAGAAUUUCAAGAUCGAAACAUCGAAUCGACGCUCGCUGAUCACUGAUAGGAAGAUU